UUCACUCAAUGGAGACUGCUCUU
rnacentral:piRNA from 1 species